GCCGGGCGGGUUUUGUGUCCGAGGAGCACGCAGUGUUGCAGCCUAGACUCCGGAUUACCAGUGGGAGGAAGACAACUUCGGAGGUUCGGCUGUGCAGCAAGUAACGGCGGGGCGAGGGAUCCAGAAGCUCCGGCGGACCUUGGGCAGACCCUCUCCACGCAUCGAAAGGACGGAAGAGCCCUAGUGUUCUACCUAGUGGGGUCAAAUUUCAGGACGGUGGAUAUACGGCAGGUUUGGGUGGAAAAUGCGGUAACAUACGUUGUGGUAUUUGUCGAAUUCUGCUUUUCUGGGAACAAUGGUUUGUGUGCCGUUUUGUUCACGUGUUGUUUUGCAUAUCUUUGGUGUCGAGCUUUCGCCUGGUUUGCACGUGCUUGAUUUGCAUUUGUUUGCUUUUAGUUGACUGGGUAUUUUGUCGAUAAGCACACAGGGAGGCAGCAUAGACUCCAGUUUGACGGAGGAAGACAAUUUCUGAGGUUCAGCUGUGCAGCAAGUAACGGCGGGGCGAUGGAGCCAGAAGCUCCGGCAGACCUUGGGCAGACCAUCUCCACGUAGCGAAAGGACGGACGAGUCCCACAUAGUGGGGGGAAAACUUCAGGAUGGCUGAGAUAUGGCAGGUUUGGGUGGAAAAUGCGGUAACCUCAGCCCGGAUUCCAGCUCUCCCAGGCCGAGGAAGGCGACUACCACAGCGCGACUGAGAUGCAGCAAGCUCUGACAGACUUUUGGCGGCCUCUUCACAUAUUGAAAGGGCGGAAGAGUCCUACCUGGCGGGUCGAAACGUCGGAUGUUAAAGAUACGGCAGGUUUGGGGCGAAAAUGCGGUAACAAACGUUUGUGUUUUUUGUCCAAUUAUGUUUUCCUGGGAACAAUGGUUUGGGGUGGUUGAUGUGUACACGUGUUGUUUUGCAUAUCUUUGGUGUCGGGCUUUCGCUCGGUUCGCUCGUGCUUGAUUUGUAUUUGCUUUGUCUUUAGUUGAUACUUGUGUUCUAAACGUGUUGUUUUCUUAGCAGAUCAGCCCGGUUUCCAGCUCUCCUGUGCCGAGGAAGGUGACUACCACAUCGCGACCGAGGUGCAGCAAGCUGCGACAGAGCGUUGGAGCCAGCAAGCCGAGCAUUCUCAACACAUACGGCAGUUCUUCGCGGCAUCGACACUAGACGACAGCCGUCAUGGAGCGCACGGCUUUGGUUUUUUCAGGGAGGCGUGCACGUUUUUGGUGACAUCGAUUUGAGGCGGGAUUCCCCUCAGAUAUUUUGUCUUUAUGUCUGUUGUUGCUGUUUUGAAGUGUUUGGUUUCCCUCUAAUUAGGGAUAUUUUCUUUUACCGUUGUUGUUUGUAAAGUUUUGCUUGUGUUGACACAGUGACGGCGACACAGACCUGGACUAUUAA